AUUGAACGCUGGCGGCAGGCCUAACACAUGCAAGUCGAGCGGAUGAAGGGAGCUUGCUCCUGGAUUCAGCGGCGGACGGGUGAGUAAUGCCUAGGAAUCUGCCUGGUAGUGGGGGGUAACGUCCGGAAACGGGCGCUAAUACCGCAUACGUCCUGAGGGAGAAAGUGGGGGAUCUUCGGACCUCACGCUAUCAGAUGAGCCUAGGUCGGAUUAGCUAGUUGGUGGGGUAAAGGCCUAACAAGGCGACGAUCCGUAACUGGUCUGAGAGGAUGAUCAGUCACACUGGAACUGAGACACGGUCCAGACUCCUACGGGAGGCAGCAGUGGGGAAUAUUGGACAAUGGGCGAAAGCCUGAUCCAGCCAUGCCGCGUGUGUGAAGAAGGUCUUCGGAUUGUAAAGCACUUUAAGUUGGGAGGAAGGGCAGUAAGUUAAUACCUUGCUGUUUUGACGUUACCAACAGAAUAAGCACCGGCUAACUUCGUG
rnacentral:rRNA from 1 species